CUUCUUCUUCUUCUUUAGCUAGUCCGAAGGAUACACAGAACACCCAUCAAACGUCAUAUGGGUGGUGUUUGGAACAAAGUGAAAACUAAGAAAAUAUCUACCAAAAGAGAAUAUUUAAAUUAUUAAACUGGGAGCUUUUCCUCUCACCCGCCCCUGCCUUCCCAUCUUUCCACAAUGGUUUGCAACAGCUCAUCAUGGAUGUCAAGGUUUCCACAGAAGGAAGAGAGAAGGAAAGUGGGAAAUGUAUAAUGUAAGGGUCUGUAUGCAGCCAGCAGGCUCAUUUGCAUACGGUUCUGUGGAGAGGGAGUUGAGAGGGUGGAAUUUUCAACUUGUGUGACAGUUGAAAUGACAGUUACAACAGUUUUCCCUAAACUGAGGGCUCAGGGAGUGUGUAAGGGGAGCGUUACCUGAACACCUCAAAUUUUGCAGGUGGUAAAAAGGAUAUGCAAUUUUCCGCAGCCUGAUCUUAUUUGGUGCUAUCGCUCCAAAGAGGUAUAUCCUGGUAGCAUCUCCAGGGCAGCUUGCAGCAUCGGGUGAAACAAGAUUGUUCCAAGAGUCCAGCACAGCAGGUAAACUUGCUUUAUGUUGCCUGUAUGCUUCCCUGCAGCCAAGCGCAUUUGCACAUCAACAGUAUUGCUUUGCAGCAGGGCUACCCAGUGACAUUAUCUUCAAAAGUACUUCAAGGCCAG